rnacentral:rRNA from 1 species
AAACAACCCAGACCGCCAGCUAAGGUCCCAAAGUCAUGGUUAAGUGGGAAACGAUGUGGGAAGGCCCAGACAGCCAGGAUGUUGGCUUAGAAGCAGCCAUCAUUUAAAGAAAGCGUAAUAGCUCACUGGUCGAGUCGGCCUGCGCGGAAGAUGUAACGGGGCUAAACCAUGCACCGAAGCUGCGGCAGCGACACUAUGUGUUGUUGGGUAGGGGAGCGUUCUGUAAGCCUGUGAAGGUGGCCUGUGAGGGUUGCUGGAGGUAUCAGAAGUGCGAAUGCUGACAUAAGUAACGAUAAAGCGGGUGAAAAGCCCGCUCGCCGGAAGACCAAGGGUUCCUGUCCAACGUUAAUCGGGGCAGGGUGAGUCGACCCCUAAGGCGAGGCCGAAAGGCGUAGUCGAUGGGAAACAGGUUAAUAUUCCUGUACUUGGUGUUACUGCGAAGGGGGGACGGAGAAGGCUAUGUUGGCCGGGCGACGGUUGUCCCGGUUUAAGCGUGUAGGCUGGUUUUCCAGGCAAAUCCGGAAAACCAAGGCUGAGGCGUGAUGACGAGGCACUACGGUGCUGAAGUGACAAAUGCCCUGCUUCCAGGAAAAGCCUCUAAGCAUCAGGUAACAUCAAAUCGUACCCCAAACCGACACAGGUGGUCAGGUAGAGAAUACCAAGGCGCUUGAGAGAACUCGGGUGAAGGAACUAGGCAAAAUGGUGCCGUAACUUCGGGAGAAGGCACGCUGAUAUGUAGGUGAAGCGACUUGCUCGUGGAGCUGAAAUCAGUCGAAGAUACCAGCUGGCUGCAACUGUUUAUUAAAAACACAGCACUGUGCAAACACGAAAGUGGACGUAUACGGUGUGACGCCUGCCCGGUGCCGGAAGGUUAAUUGAUGGGGUUAGCGGUAACGCGAAGCUCUUGAUCGAAGCCCCGGUAAACGGCGGCCGUAACUAUAACGGUCCUAAGGUAGCGAAAUUCCUUGUCGGGUAAGUUCCGACCUGCACGAAUGGCGUAAUGAUGGCCAGGCUGUCUCCACCCGAGACUCAGUGAAAUUGAACUCGCUGUGAAGAUGCAGUGUACCCGCGGCAAGACGGAAAGACCCCGUGAACCUUUACUAUAGCUUGACACUGAACAUUGAGCCUUGAUGUGUAGGAUAGGUGGGAGGCUUUGAAGUGUGGACGCCAGUCUGCAUGGAGCCGACCUUGAAAUACCACCCUUUAAUGUUUGAUGUUCUAACGUUGGCCCGUAAUCCGGGUUGCGGACAGUGUCUGGUGGGUAGUUUGACUGGGGCGGUCUCCUCCUAAAGAGUAACGGAGGAGCACGAAGGUUGGCUAAUCCUGGUCGGACAUCAGGAGGUUAGUGCAAUGGCAUAAGCCAGCUUGACUGCGAGCGUGACGGCGCGAGCAGGUGCGAAAGCAGGUCAUAGUGAUCCGGUGGUUCUGAAUGGAAGGGCCAUCGCUCAACGGAUAAAAGGUACUCCGGGGAUAACAGGCUGAUACCGCCCAAGAGUUCAUAUCGACGGCGGUGUUUGGCACCUCGAUGUCGGCUCAUCACAUCCUGGGGCUGAAGUAGGUCCCAAGGGUAUGGCUGUUCGCCAUUUAAAGUGGUACGCGAGCUGGGUUUAGAACGUCGUGAGACAGUUCGGUCCCUAUCUGCCGUGGGCGCUGGAGAACUGAGGGGGGCUGCUCCUAGUACGAGAGGACCGGAGUGGACGCAUCACUGGUGUUCGGGUUGUCAUGCCAAUGGCACUGCCCGGUAGCUAAAUGCGGAAGAGAUAAGUGCUGAAAGCAUCUAAGCACGAAACUUGCCCCGAGAUGAGUUCUCCCUGAGACUUAGAGUCUCCUGAAGGAACGUUGAAGACGACGACGUUGAUAGGCCGGGUGUGUAAGCGCAGCGAUGCGUUGAGCUAACCGGUACUAAUGAACCGUGAGGCUUAACCUUACAACGCCGAAG